CAAAUUAAAAUCAUUCAUCAUAUAACAUCACAUAAUACAUCGCCCAGGUUUACAUAACACAAUAACUCAUCUCAUGAAUACAUUUUCUUACACAUGAAUAUAGCAAGAACAGACAGAAUUGCACAAUAGAACAAUGACACAUCUGCUACUAUCCCAACAGUAUAAUGGACUUCAUUCUAGUUUUCUACGAGACAUGCUCGAGAUGCGACAACUUGUCAUCCUACAAGAACAUUGCACUGCACAUGAAUCAAUCAAAAAAAAUAUAAAAAAUAUUAGAAAUAAAAAAGAUUUGUAUUCAUCCUGAAGAUGAUGUUCAAAGAAAUGCGAACAAAAGUGAGAGAGACAUGCACUUAGUUUUUUUUAGUAGGAAGUUGUGCGCGCAUAGACACGGUACCACACCAUUCAAGAUAAUUAACGGAAACUAGACAUAAACAUAGGCCAAGUUCAAAUCAAAAUAUGUAACUGUGAAGCCAAAUCAAACAAACGAAUAUGUUUAGCCAACCAAGCAGGAGAGCACUAACCAAACAAUGCUUCCCAGCUAGCUAGUACACUAGAACGUGACCAUCCAACACGCAUACACGCAUCAUGCAGGAAUAUAUAUGAACAUUUUUCUGUAAGGGGGAAAUCAAGACCUUAUUAACCAAACAAUGCUUCCUAGCUAGCUAGUACACUAGAACGUGACCAUCCAACACGCAUACACGCAUCAUGCAGGAAUAUAUAUGAACAUUUUUCUGUAAGGGGGAAAUCAAGACCUUAUUUUGGAAGGACUAAAGAGCUCUUGAACGAGUUCUAGUCAUCAAGUAUAUAAAUCAAGCAAUGCUCCACUUCUAAUUUAUUCCAGUAUUUUUACUUCUAAUAUAUUCCAGUAUUUUUCGACAUGUGUGAUGCUUUUCUGGAAACAUGGAGUAGAAGUAUUUUUGGAAACAUGAAAAAGCAUGAUUUAUUAUCCUGGAGUCUAGACAAGAGUUGUUCUGAGCAUUGUUACUCGAGCGAAGAGGAUGACUAAAAGCGUUCAAUGGUUGAGAAUAUACCAACAGCUUCAAACUCUCCUAACGAAAGAUUCAAGUGCUGGAAAUCUAGAAGCGGGACAGAUUAUACAGUUACCUGAGUGGAGUAAGGGACAGUUUCCAACAUAGAAAUUUCAAACAAAUGAGUCCAUUUCCUGCAUGAACAUAAAUUAAAGUUAGUGUUCAAAACUUAGCAAGUUUGUGUUAAGAACUUAAGCUCCUUACUGAAAACAUAAUGUACAACAGUUUGGCCACACCAAAUCAUAUAUUAUUUUUUAUUACUACUACUAUAUGGUUAGAUUCAACUACUACGUCUCGUCUGGCAAGCUGACAAUUAAAUUGAGUGUACUGGAGUAUACUGAUGCAACUAGAUUUGCAUCCGUCACCUUCAAAAAUCACAUGGAAGGAUAUGCCACCGGAGUCCAGUACCCAACAACCAAUGAUGCGGUUCACACUGACAGUAAGAGAAAACAAAUUAAACUUGUAUAAAUAUGGACAUGUGGGGGGCUGGUGGCUCAGUCUGCCGUCCAAGUGACCAUGUUUAACCGAUAUAAGUUUAAGGUUUGUCUCCAUGUUGCCAAUAAUGCAGCUUUUAAAGAAUUGAUUCACAUACUGCAGAAUAAUUCAAUUAUAGUAAGAGUAAAACAUGUUGCUAUAGUUAAUAAGGUAAGAUGCCAGGCUGACCAGUCAAGAAAUCUGCAGAAAAAACAAGAUUUCCAGCCGAAAAAGAAAAAAGCUAAGGCAUUCCCAUCAACGUUUGGCCUUAAUCAACAUGCCAUUCUUUUUAAGAAGACAAAUAUAUAAGCAAUAAGCAAUACUCACUGCUAAAUUCAGUGUGUUGU
rnacentral:lncRNA from 1 species